UACGGGGGGGGGCAAGCGUUGUUCGGAAUACUGGGCGUAAAGGGCUCGUAGGUGGCCAACUAAGUCAUACGUGAAAUCCCUCGGCUUAACCGGGGAACUGCGUCUGAUACUGGAUGGCUUGAGAUCGGGAGAGGGAUGCGGAAUUCCAGGUGUAGCGGUGAAAUGCGUAGAUAUCUGGAGGAACACCGGUGGCGAAGGCGGCAUCCUGGACCGACACUGACGCUGAGGGAGCGAAAGCCAGGGGGAGCAAACGGG
rnacentral:rRNA from 1 species